UGAGUGUUAUAAUACCCGAUAGUGACGUCAUGUCACCUCCUGCUGCCGCGUGACGUCGCGACGUAACAGGAAGUUGCCGCUCCGACCGCACACUGAUAUCCGAGGCCCAGCCCGCUUGAGCUGCUAUAACGCUCUUGUUUUCAGAAGCGACCUGCACACAACACAAGCUGUCACUUCCUCUGCAGAGUUGGUCUGAUGGCACUAAGGCACUCGGCGCAGCUCGGUACAAAAAGGCAACAAUGCGACUGGCGUGCAUACAGCACGGAUCGUCCUGGACAUUUGACACAGCACCAGAGAACUCACACGGGAGAUAAACUCUUAAAGUGCAGUGUGUGUGGGAAGGCGUUUGCACGUUCAUCUGCUCUUGUAAUACA